rnacentral:rRNA from 1 species
UACAGAGGGUGCAAGCGUUGUUCGGAAUUACUGGGCGUAAAGCGCGUGUAGGCGGCCUAUUAAGUCAGAUGUGAAAUCCCUUGGCUCAACCAAGGAACUGCAUCUGAUACUGGAAGGCUUGAGUGUCGGAGGGGAUGGUAGAAUUCCUGGUGUAGAGGUGAAAUUCGUAGAUAUCAGGAGGAAUACCUGUGGCGAAGGCGACCAUCUGGAAGACAACUGACGCUGAGACGCGAAAGCGUGGGUAGCAAACAGG